AUUUAUGAGAGUUUGAUCCUGGCUCAGGAUGAACGCUGGCGGCGUGUUUAAGGCAUGCAAGUCGUACGGUCCUUCGCUCUUUACUGCGUAAAGAGCUCGCAGCUCAUCGCGUAGUGAUGAGCGGAGGACAGUGGCAAACGGGUGAGUAACACAUUGGUAACCUGCCCCGAAGUCGUGAAUAACCUGCCGAAAGGCGAGCUAAUACACGAUAAAAAUGGGGGGACUUAAGUCAUUCCCAUUUAAAGUUCCGACGCUUCGGGAGGGGCCUAUGGCCUAUCAGCUAGUUGGUGAGGUAAUAGCUCACCAAGGCUAUGACGGGUAGCGGGUGUGAGAGCACGACCCGUCUCACUGGGACUGAGACACUGCCCAGACUCCUACGGGAGGCUGCAGUCAAGAAUCUUUCGCAAUGCCCUUUGUGGGUGACGGAGCGACGCCGCGUGACUGAUGAAGCUCUUCGGAGUGUAAAGGUCUUUUUUUAGAGAAGAACAAAUGACUGUAUCUAAAGAAUAAGAGGUUGCUAACUCUGU
rfam:Candidatus Buchananbacteria bacterium RBG_13_36_9 RBG_13_scaffold_42540, whole genome shotgun sequence.